rnacentral:misc_RNA from 1 species
GAUGAAGAACGCAGCAAAAUGCAAUAAGUAAUGUGAAUUGCAGAAUUCAGUGAAUCAUCGAAUCUUUGAACGCACAUUGCGCCCGCCAGUAUUCUGGCGGGCAUGCCUGUUCGAGCGUCAUUUCAACCCUCAAGCUCAGCUUGGUGUUGGGACUCGCGGUAACCCGCGUUCCCCAAAUCGAUUGGCGGUCACGUCGAGCUUCCAUAGCGUAGUAAUCAUACACCUCGUUACUGGUAAUCGUCGCGGCCACGCCGUAAAACCCCAACUUCUGAAUGUUGACCUCGGAUCAGGUAGGAAUACCCGCUGAACUUAAGCAUAUCAAUAAGCGGAGGA